UGGCACUGAAACACGGGCCAAACUCCUACGGGAGGUAGCAGUGGGGAAUCUUGCACAAUGGAUGAAACUCUGAUGCAGCGACUCCCCGUGAGCCAUCAAGCCCCUCAUGGUGUAAAGCUCUUUCUGCACGAACGAUAAUGACGGUACCUGAAGAAGAAGCUGCGGCUAACUACGUGCCAGCAGCCGCGGUAAUACGUAGGCAGCAAGCGUUGUUCGGAAUUACUGGGCGUAAAGAGUGUGUAGGCGGUGCUCUAAGUUUGGUGUGAAAUCUCCCGGCUUAACUGGGAGGGUGCGCCUAAAACUGGAAUGCUUGAACGUGGGAAAGGAAAGCGGAAUUCCUGGUGUAGCGGUGAAAUGCGUAGAUAUCAGGAGGAACACCU
rnacentral:rRNA from 1 species